rnacentral:rRNA from 1 species
GACGAACGCUGGCGGCGUGCUUAACACAUGCAAGUCGAACGGAAAGGCCCUGCUUUUGUGGGGUGCUCGAGUGGCGAACGGGUGAGUAACACGUGAGUAACCUGCCCUUGACUUUGGGAUAACUUCAGGAAACUGGGGCUAAUACCGGAUAGGAGCUCCUGCUGCAUGGUGGGGGUUGGAAAGUUUCGGCGGUUGGGGAUGGACUCGCGGCUUAUCAGCUUGUUGGUGGGGUAGUGGCUUACCAAGGCUUUGACGGGUAGCCGGCCUGAGAGGGUGACCGGCCACAUUGGGACUGAGAUACGGCCCAGACUCCUACGGGAGGCAGCAGUGGGGAAUAUUGCACAAUGGGCGGAAGCCUGAUGCAGCAACGCCGCGUGCGGGAUGACGGCCUUCGGGUUGUAAACCGCUUUCGCCUGUGACGAAGCGUGAGUGACGGUAAUGGGUAAAGAAGCACCGGCUAACUACGUGCCAGCAGCCGCGGUGAUACGUAGGGUGCGAGCGUUGUCCGGAUUUAUUGGGCGUAAAGGGCUCGUAGGUGGUUGAUCGCGUCGGAAGUGUAAUCUUGGGGCUUAACCCUGAGCGUGCUUUCGAUACGGGUUGACUUGAGGAAGGUAGGGGAGAAUGGAAUUCCUGGUGGAGCGGUGGAAUGCGCAGAUAUCAGGAGGAACACCAGUGGCGAAGGCGGUUCUCUGGGCCUUUCCUGACGCUGAGGAGCGAAAGCGUGGGGAGCGAACAGGCUUAGAUACCCUGGUAGUCCACGCUGUAAACGGUGGGUACUAGGUGUGGGGUCCAUUCCACGGGUUCCGUGCCGUAGCUAACGCUUUAAGUACCCCGCCUGGGGAGUACGGCCGCAAGGCUAAAACUCAAAGGAAUUGACGGGGCCCCGCACAAGCGGCGGAGCAUGCGGAUUAAUUCGAUGCAACGCGUAGAACCUUACCUGGGUUUGACAUGGAUCGGGAGUGCUCAGAGAUGGGUGUGCCUCUUUUGGGGUCGGUUCACAGGUGGUGCAUGCCUGUCGUCAGCUCGUGUCGUGAGAUGUUGGGUUAAGUCCCGCAACGAGCGCAACCCUUGUUCACUGUUGCCAGCACGUUAUGGUGGGGACUCAGUGGAGACCGCCGGGGUCAACUCGGAGGAAGGUGGGGAUGACGUCAAGUCAUCAUGCCCCUUAUGUCCAGGGCUUCACGCAUGCUACAAUGGCUGGUACAGAGAGUGGCGAGCCUGUGAGGGUGAGCGAAUCUCGGAAAGCCGGUCUCGGUUCGGAUUGGGGUCUGCAACUCGACCUCAUGAAGUCGGAGUCGCUAGUAAUCGCAGAUCAGCAACGCUGCGGUGAAUACGUUCCCGGG